GACGAACGCUGGCGGCAGGCUUAACACAUGCAAGUCGAACGCAUCCUUCGGGGUGAGUGGCAGACGGGUGAGUAACGCGUGGGAACGUGCCCUUCAGUUCGGGAUAACCCAGGGAAACUUGGGCUAAUACCGGAUACGUGCGAGAGCAGAAAGAUUUAUCGCUGAAGGAUCGGCCCGCGUCUGAUUAGCUAGUUGGGGGGGUAAUGGCCCACCAAGGCGACGAUCAGUAGCUGGUCUGAGAGGAUGAUCAGCCACAUUGGGACUGAGACACGGCCCAAACUCCUACGGGAGGCAGCAGUGGGGAAUAUUGGACAAUGGGCGCAAGCCUGAUCCAGCCAUGCCGCGUGAGUGAUGGAGGCCUUAGGGUUGUAAAGCUCUUUCGUCCGGGACGAUAAUGACGGUACCGGAAGAAGAAGCCCCGGCUAACUUCGUGCCAGCCGCCGCAGUAAUAC
rnacentral:rRNA from 1 species